GAGCUUGCUCCCAGGCGUCGAGCGGCGGACGGGUGAGUAAUACAUAGGAAUCUGCCCAGUAGUGGGGGAUAGCCCGGGGAAACCCGGAUUAAUACCGCAUACGCCCUUUGGGGGAAAGCAGGGGAUCUUCGGACCUUGCGCUAUUGGAUGAGCCUAUGUCGGAUUAGCUAGUUGGUGGGGUAAGAGCCUACCAAGGCGACGAUCCGUAGCUGGUCUGAGAGGAUGAUCAGCCACAUCGGGACUGAGACACGGCCCGAACUCCUACGGGAGGCAGCAGUGGGGAAUAUUGGACAAUGGGGGCAACCCUGAUCCAGCCAUGCCGCGUGUGUGAAGAAGGCUUUCGGGUUGUAAAGCACUUUCAGUGAGGAGGAAAACCUUACGACUAAUACUCGUGAGGCUUGACGUUACUCACAGAAGAAGCACCGGCUAACUCCGUGCCAGCAGCCGCGGUAAUACGGAGGGUGCAAGCGUUAAUCGGAAUUACUGGGCGUAAAGCGCGCGUAGGUGGUUUGAUAAGCGAGAUGUGAAAGCCCCGGGCUCAACC
rnacentral:rRNA from 1 species